UGGGGAAUAUUGGACAAUGGGCGCAAGCCUGAUCCAGCAAUGCCGCGUGAGUGAGGAAGGCCUUCGGGUUGUAAAGCUCUUUCGGCGGGGACGAUGAUGACGGUACCCGCAGAAGAAGCCCCGGCUAACUUCGUGCCAGCAGCCGCGGUAAUACGAAGGGGGCGAGCGUUGUUCGGAUUUACUGGGCGUAAAGGGCGCGCAGGCGGCGAUGUUUGUCAGGCGUGAAAGCCCCGGGCUCAACCUGGGAAUUGCGCUUGAAACGGGAUUGCUAGAGAUCGGGAGAGGAGAGUGGAAUUCCCAGUGUAGAGGUGAAAUUCGUAGAUAUUGGGAAGAACACCGGUGGCGAAGGCGGCUCUCUGGACCGAGACUGACGCUGAGGCGCGAAAGCGUGGGGAGCAAACAGGAUUAGAUACCCGUGUAGUCC
rnacentral:rRNA from 1 species